rnacentral:tRNA from 1 species
GGGGGGUUGAUCUAACCUGGUAUGAUGCCAGGUUUGGGACCUGGCAAUCCGAGUUCAAAUCUCGGACCCCCCA